rnacentral:rRNA from 1 species
UGGGGAAUAUUGGGCAAUGGGCGCAAGCCUGACCCAGCAACGCCGCGUGAAGGAAGAAGGCUUUCGGUUGUAAACUUCUUUUCUUCAGGGACGAAGCAAGUGACGGUACCUGAGGAAUAAGCCACGGCUAACUACGUGCC